rnacentral:pre_miRNA from 1 species
AAAGUACUCCCUCCGUCCCAAAAUUCUUGUCUUAGAUUUGUCUAGAUGCGGAUGUAUCAAGUCACAGAUACAUCUGUAUCUAGACAAAUCUAAGACAAGAAAUUUGGGACAGAGGGAGUAGUUG